CCAGACUCCUACGGGAGGCAGCAGUGAGGAAUAUUGGUCGAUGGCCGAGAGGCUGAACCAGCCAAGUCGCGUGAGGGAAGACGGCCCUACGGGUUGUAAACCUCUUUUGUCGGGGAGCAAAGCGAGUCACGUGUGACUCAUUGAGAGUACCCGAAGAACAAGCAUCGGCUAACUCCGUGCCAGCAGCCGCGGUAAUACGGAGGAUGCGAGCGUUAUCCGGAUUUAUUGGGUUUAAAGGGUGCGCAGGCGGUCUGUUAAGUCAGCGGUCAAAGCCCGGGGCUCAACCCCGGUCCGCCGUUGAAACUGGCAGUCUCGAGUUGGAGAGAAGUAUGCGGAAUGCGCGGUGUAGCGGUGAAAUGCAUAGAUAUCGCGCAGAACUCCGAUUGCGAAGGCAGCAUGCCGGCUCCACACUGACGCUGAGGCACGAAAGCGUGGGUAUCGAACAGGAGUAGAUACCCUAGUAAUC
rnacentral:rRNA from 1 species